CUAAGGCUCCAGAGGAAGCCACGGCUAACUCUGUGCCAGCAGCCGCGGUAAUACAGAGGCGGCAAGCGUUGUUCGGAAUUAUUGGGCGUAAAGAGCACGUAGGCGGCCUUGCAAGUCAGUUGUGAAAGCCUUCCGCUUAACGGAAGAAUGCCAGCUGAUACUACAGGGCUUGAGUACGGGAGGGGAGAGUGGAACUUCUGGUGGAGCGGUGAAAUGCGUAGAUGUCAGAAGGAACGCCGGCGGCGAAAGCGACUCUCUGGCCCGAAACUGACGCUGAGUGUGCGAAGGCUAGGGGAGCAAACGGGAUUAGAUACCCCGGUAGUCCUAGCCGUAAA
rnacentral:rRNA from 1 species